CGGGGUUGUUUGUGUAGCAAUACAUCGACAACCUAGUGGCGAACGGGUGCGUAACACGUGAGCAAUCUGCCGGGAAGUGGGGGAUAGCUCGCCGAAAGGCGAAUUAAUACCGCAUGUGGCCAGAGGGGACAUCCCUUCGACGCCAAAGUCGCAAGACGCUUCCUGAUGAGCUCGCGGCCUAUCAGCUUGUUGGUGAGGUAACGGCUCACCAAGGCUAUGACGGGUAGCUGGUCUGAGAGGACGACCAGCCACACUGGAACUGAGACACGGUCCAGACACCUACGGGUGGCAGCAGUCGAGAAUUUUUCACAAUGGGGGAAACCCUGAUGGAGCGACGCCGCGUGGAGGAUGAAGGUCUUCGGAUUGUAAACUCCUGUCAUGCGAGAACAAGAAAGUGAUAGUAUCGCAAGAGGAAGAGACGGCUAACUCUGUGCCAGCAGCCGCGGUAAUACAGAGGUCUCAAGCGUUGUUCGGAUUCAUUGGGCGUAAAGGGUGCGUAGGCGGCGUGGUAAGUUGAGUGUGAAAUCCUAGGGCUUAACCUUAGAACUGCACUCAAUACUGCCAUGCUAGAGGAAUGUAGAGGAGAGUGGAAUUCACGGGUGUAGCAGUGAAAUGCGUAGAUAUCGUGAGGAAGACCAGUUGCGAAGGCGACUCUCUGGGCAUUUCCUGACGCUGANGCACGAAGGCCAGGGGAGCAAACGGGAUUAGAUACCCCGGUAGUCCUNNAGUAAACGGUGCACGUUUGGUGUGGGCGGGUUCAGACCCCGUCCGUGCCGGANCUAACGCGUUAAACGUGCCGCCUGGGAAGUACGGUCGCAAGAUUAAAACUCAAAGAAAUUGACGGGGGCCCGCACAAGCGGNGGAG
rnacentral:rRNA from 1 species